UGGGGAAUUUUGCACAAUGGGGGAAACCCUGAUGCAGCGACGCCGCGUGAUUUAGAAGGCCUUCGGGUUGUAAAAAUCUUUUCUAUGGGAAGAAAAUGACAGUACCAUAGGAAUAAGGACCGGCUAAUUACGUGCCAGCAGCCGCGGUAAUACGUAAGGUCCGAGCGUUGUCCGGAAUCAUUGGGCGUAAAGGGUACGUAGGCGGGUAAGCAAGUUAGAAGUGAAAUCCUAUAGCUCAACUAUAGUAAGCUUUUAAAACUGCUCAUCUUGAGGUAUGGAAGGGAAAGUGGAAUUCCUAGUGUAGCGGUGAAAUGCGCAGAUAUUAGGAGGAAUACCGGUGGCGAAGGCGGCUUUCUGGCCAUAACCUGACGAUGAGGUACGAAAGCGUGGGUAGCAAACAGG
rnacentral:rRNA from 1 species